rnacentral:rRNA from 1 species
AUACGAAGGUCCCAAGCGUUAUUCGGAAUCACUGGGCGUAAAGAGUAUGUAGGCGGUUUGGUAAGUCAGGUGUGAAAUCCCGAAGCUCAACUUCGGAACUGCAUCCGAUACUGCUAGACUUGAGUAAUGGAGAGGCAGGUGGAAUUCUCAGUGUAGCAGUGAAAUGCGUGGAUAUCGUGAGGAAGACCAAUGGCGAAGGCAGCCUGCUGGACAUUUACUGACGCUGAGAUACGAAGGCUAGGGUAGCGAAAGGGAUUAGAAACACCGGUAGUCC